UACGUAGGGUGCAAGCGUUAAUCGGAAUUACUGGGCGUAAAGCGUGCGCAGGCGGUUUUGUAAGUCUGACGUGAAAUCCCCGGGCUCAACCUGGGAAUUGCGUUGGAGACUGCAAGGCUAGAAUCUGGCAGAGGGGGGUAGUAUUCCACGUGUAGCAGUGAAAUGCGUAGAGAUGUGGAGGAACACCGAUGGCGAAGGCAGCCCCCUGGGUCAAGAUUGACGCUCAUGCUCGAAAGCGUGGGGAGCAAACAGG
rnacentral:rRNA from 1 species